GACGAACGCUGGCGGCGUGCCUAAUACAUGCAAGUCGAGCGCAGAGGGUUGGUACUUGUACCACCUGGAUGAGCAGCGAACGGGUGAGUAACGCGUGGGGAAUCUGCCUUUGAGCGGGGGACAACAUUGGGAAACGAAUGCUAAUACCGCAUAAAAACUUUAAACACAAGUUUUAAGAGUGAAAGAUGCAAUUGCAUCACUCAAAGAUGAUCCCGCGUUGUAUUAGCUAGUUGGUGAGGUAAAGGCUCACCAAGGCGAUGAUACAUAGCCGACCUGGGAGGGGGAUCGGCCACAUUGGGACUGGGACACGGCCCAAACUCCUUCGGGAGGCAGCAGGAGGGAAUCUUCGGCAAUGGGCGAAAGUCUUACCGGGCAACGCCGCGUGAAGUAAGGAGGUUUUCCGAUCGUAAAACUCUGGUGGUAGGGAAGAACGUUGGUGGGAGUGAAAAGCGCAUCAAGUGACGGUAACUACCCAGAAAGGGACGGCUAACUACGUG
rnacentral:rRNA from 1 species